GACGAACGCUGGCGGCGUGCUUAACACAUGCAAGUCGAACGAUGAAGAAAAGAAUCUAAGCUUCGGCAGAAAUUCAUUUCGGAUUAGUGGCAGACGGGUGAGUAACGCGUUAGCAACCUACCUCUUACAAAGGGAUAGCCUCGGGAAACCGGGAUUAAUACCAUAUAACAUUUUGACGAAGCAUUUCGAUUCAAUCAAAGCUACGGCGGUAAGAGAUGGGCUCGCGUCCCAUUAACCGGAUGGUGAGGUAACGGCUCACCAUAGUGACGAUGGGUAACCGGCCUGAGAGGGUGAACGGUCACACUGGAACUGAGACACGGUCCAGAAUCCUACGGGAGGCAGCAGUGGGGAAUAUUGCACCACGGAGGGAACUCUGAUGCAGCGACGCCGCGUGAGUGAUGAAGGAAUUCGUUUCGUAAAGCUCUGUUCUAUGGGAAGAAAAGGACUGUACCAUAGGAGAAAGCUCCGGCUAAAUACGUG
rnacentral:rRNA from 1 species